CUCGUUUAGAAACAAAUACUUGCAGCCGACUAUGGAUCAGAUUUAUCAUCUGUUAAAGAAGAAUUGGAUAGUCAACAACAUGAACACAAAAUUAUCGAUAAAUUUCACUCUAAAAUUGUAAAUGACGAGCGGCACCAAAUGAAAUUUUCUGGCGAAGAAUUGAACAAUUAUCAAGAUUUACGACGCCAAAUGUCUACGCUUUGUGGAUUGGCUUAUAGAGGCACGUCCAUCUUUCUCACCACCACGACGAGACUUACGUCCACCAGACAGUGACCCAGGAGCAACACAGUAUUAUAGCCAUAGACUCGAUGCACUAAAUAUAAAAUACGAUAGAUUAUUAGAACAAUUAUCGCAGAGGCUUAAAACAGCUAUCGAAGUAAAUGGCAGCGAUGGCUUGAAACAAAUACUUGCAGCCGACUAUGGAUCAGAUUUAUCAUCUGUUAAAGAAGAAUUGGAUAGUCAACAACAUGAACACAAAAUUAUCGAUAAAUUUCACUCUAAAAUUGUAAAUGACGAGCGGCACCAAAUGAAAUUUUCUGGCGAAGAAUUGAACAAUUAUCAAGAUUUACGACGCCAAAUGUCUACGCUUUGUGGAUUGGCUUAUAGAGGCACGUCCAUCUUUCUCACCACCACGACGAGACUUACGUCCACCAGACAGUGACCCAGGAGCAACACAGUAUUAUAGCCAUAGACUCGAUGCACUAAAUAUAAAAUACGAUAGAUUAUUAGAACAAUUAUCGCAGAGGCUUAAAACAGCUAUCGAAGUAAAUGGCAGCGAUGGCUUGAAACAAAUACUUGCAGCCGACUAUGGAUCAGAUUUAUCAUCUGUUAAAGAAGAAUUGGAUAGUCAACAACAUGAACACAAAAUUAUCGAUAAAUUUCACUCUAAAAUUGUAAAUGACGAGCGGCACCAAAUGAAAUUUUCUGGCGAAGAAUUGAACAAUUAUCAAGAUUUACGACGCCAAAUGUCUACGCUUUGUGGAUUGGCUUAUAGAGGCACGUCCAUCUUUCUCACCACCACGACGAGACUUACGUCCACCAGACAGUGACCCAGGAGCAACACAGUAUUAUAGCCAUAGACUCGAUGCACUAAAUAUAAAAUACGAUAGAUUAUUAGAACAAUUAUCGCAGAGGCUUAAAACAGCUAUCGAAGUAAAUGGCAGCGAUGGCUUG